AUCUGGGCGGCGGAAUUCAGGAUGGCUGGCGGGCUUCGCGCUUGUCCGGUCGUUUGAUAUUUCCGUCGCCGUGUCAGACGUCGCGACCUGUUUGUCGUCGGUCCAUGCUCGGAGGAAUCGCGAUCGAGUUCGUUGCGUGGUGCGUUUCGGCGUGCCAUGCGGCGAAGACGUGACUCUCUGACUGACGGCGGACAGUAAGCAACGGUGUCCGGCGUCGUGUCUCGCACUCGAUGCCGGUGCCGGUCUGCGACGAUUUCUUCGGGCCUCUUUCCGACCCGUCUUGAAACACGGACCAAGGAGUCUAACAUGCGCGCGAGUCGCGGGGUUUCGAGCGUACCACGGUGCGCUCGUUACUUGCGAAACCCGUACGUUGAAGGCGUAAUGAAAGUGAACAGGGAAGAUGGCGUUCCGAGUCCACGUACCGUGAUCGAGUGUCGCGGCCGGACGUCCGCACUCCCGGGGCGUCUCAAUGGCUCGUCGCGGACGCGGACGGUCGUCUCUCGGGGCGAUCGUCGGUCAGCGUCGGACCGA
rnacentral:rRNA from 1 species